AUUCCAUGGUGAGGGAAUUCCCUUUGGUACUCCUUAAAACGAUCCCAAACUUCGAAGAGUGACGCAUCUCACUUUUUUUCAAAGGAUUCAAUCUUGUGGCGACACU